rnacentral:rRNA from 1 species
CUACGGGCCGCACCAGUGAGGAAUAUUGCGCAAUGGGGGAAACCCUGACGCAGCGACGCCGCGUGGAUGAUGAAGGCCUUCGGGUCGUAAAAUCCUGUCAGAAGGAAAGAAGUGUAUGGUAGCUAAUAUCUGCCAUACUUGACGGUACCUUCAAAGGAAGCACCGGCUAACUCCGUGCCAGCAGCCGCGGUAAUACGGAGGGUGCAAGCGUUGUUCGGAAUUACUGGGCGUAAAGCGCGCGUAGGCGGUUUUAUAAGUCAGAUGUGAAAGUCCACGGCUCAACCAUGGAAGUGCAUUUGAACUGUAAGACUUGAGUAUUGGAGGGGGUAGUGGAAUUCCCGGUGUAGAGGUGAAAUUCGUAGAUAUCAGGAGGAAUACCGGUGGCGAAGGCGACUAUCUGGCCAAAUACUGACGCUGAGGUGCGAAAGCGUGGGGAGCAAACAGGAUUAGAUACCCCAGUAGUC